GCAGUGGUAGGUCAGAUGCCACCUUGCCAUCGUGGAAGAAAAAGAUUAAGUUCUGGGCUUGGAAGCCCACUACUACACUGAAUGCUUGGAUAAAGAAGUCCACAUCCGUUUCAGUGCUUAUUCUGUAGAUAAGGUCUGUCACUGAUGUUACUCGAAGUGGCCCCUGAGUCUACGCGCAGCCUCGCCAGUUCGCAUCCACCAAUCCCAGCCAAGUAUUCAGUCCACUCGCUCAUAGAGACUAAAGUGACGUGCUUACAGCUGAGAGGGAGCGCGAUGUAACCCUUACCCAUUCAAGUUUCUCCGCUGGUCACGUGUAUGAACAUCACAUCUGAUUUAUUUGUGGCACUAUCGGUGGCUGCAUCGUACUCUGCGUCAUCGUAUCCUUCGCCUUGUUAUACCUAGGAAUCGUGUGAAUGAAAGGCGUAAAGUACACAAAGCUGUGCGGCUGUGCGGUGAGUAGACAGUAACAAACGCGCGAGAGCAGAGUGGUCUUCUACAGUUCCUCUGCUCCUCGACCGCCUCCUUGCAAGAUGGAAUGCCGCCAGUGUCUCAUCAUGAGUCUCACUGUGGUUGUCUACGUGGUAGUCGCCCUCGUCAUAUUUUUCUCCCUGUGAUAACUAGGAAUGACGUGAAGAAAGACCU